ensembl:lncRNA
GGGAGAGGCAGGUGAGUGUCUGUAGAGGGGAGAGGCAGGUGAGUGUCUGUAGAGGGGAGAGGCAGGUGAGUGUCUGUAGAGGGGAGAGGCAGGUGAGUGUCUGUAGAGGGGAGAGGCAGGUGAGUGUCUGUAGAGGGGAGAGGCAGGUGAGUGUCUGUAGAGGGGAGAGGCAGGUGAGUGUCUGUAGAGGGGAGAGACAGGUGUAUCUUACAACAGGUGUCUGUUGUCAGUCUUUGCAGUGGUGGGCUGUAGUUUUGAGAGAAGGCAUUUUUUAGUAAACAAUUGUAUAGGAAUCUUAAGAGGUGUGGAAGGACAGUGAUAAUACAACAUUAUUUUCUGCUAAUACGCCCUUAUUGUGAUUCUCUCACUCCUGGUCAAACACCGUAGGAUGUCAAUGCCUGAAGUCUUCCUUUUGUUGUCAGCACAUUAUGUGGUAGCUCAUAGGUAAACCUUCUCUGUUUGCACACUGGCCACUCCAGGUCAACUUACAGGAAGCUUACUCCAUCCUCAGUAGCCAGG